CUUUUAUUUCAAAUACUAGUAUACUUAGCAUAAAUUUUAGAGCAAAUUUAAAUGCUCAGAAUGCAGGAAAUGGCAUUUCAGGGCUUCAAAUUUCAAAAAUUUUCUCGGGGAAUAUGCCUACAGACCCCGUGGCCUUCAGCCAUUUCCUAUCCCCCUCUAAUACUGCAUUAUUUCACAGAAAGGUCCCUUUUCAAAAAAUCCCCCCCCCCCCCGCCCCACACAGGAAAAUCCUUAAAAAAGGCCCUGACCAGUAUACCAAAAAAAAACAAAAAAAAACAAACUAAAAACUAUUAAAAAUCCCCCCCCCCACGCCCC